GCGAACGCUGGCGGCGUACUUAACACAUGCAAGUCGAGCGAGGGUCAUGGCGUGAGCAAUCAUGUCGUGACCCGAGCGGCGGACGGGUGCGUAACACGUGGGUAACCUGCCCUCGAGACCGGGAUACCCCCUCGAAAGGGGGGCUAAUACUGGAUACGUUCCUCGGGUCGCACGAUCUGGGGAGGAAAGGUAGCUCGCAAGGGCUGCCACUCGUGGAGGGGCUCGCGGCCUAUCAGCUAGUUGGUAGGGUAACGGCCUACCAAGGCGAUGACGGGUAGCUGGUCUGAGAGGACGACCAGCCACACGGGGACUGAGACACGGCCCCGACUCCUACGGGAGGCAGCAGUGGGGAAUCUUCCGCAAUGGGCGAAAGCCUGACGGAGUGACGCCGCGUGGGGGACGAAGGCCUUCGGGUCGUAAACCCCUGUCAGAGGGAAAGAUGGGUGUCGGCGUG
rnacentral:rRNA from 1 species